rnacentral:rRNA from 1 species
UGGGGAAUCUUAGACAAUGGGGGAAACCCUGAUCUAGCGAUGCCGCGUGAGUGAAGAAGGCCUUCGGGUUGUAAAGCUCUUUUACCUGUGACGAUGAUGACGGUAGCAGGAGAAAAAGCACCGGCAAACUCUGUGCCAGCAGCCGCGGUAAGACAGAGGGUGCUAGCGUUGUUCGGAUUGACUGGGCGUAAAGGGCGCGUAGGCGGUUAUAUUAGUCAGGCGUGAAAGCCCCGGGCUUAACCCGGGAAUUGCGCUUGAAACGGUAUGGCUAGAGACCGGAAGAGGAAAGCAGAAUUCCUAGUGUAGAGGUGAAAUUCGUAGAUAUUAGGAGGAAUACCAGAGGCGAAGGCGGCUUUCUGGUCCGGUUCUGACGCUGAGGCGCGAAAGCGUGGGGAGCAAA